CAAUAGCGUAUAUUAAAGUUGUUGCGGUUAAAAAGCUCGUAGUUGGAUUUCUGCUGAGGACGACCGGUCCGCCCUCCGGGUGAGCAUCUGGUUCGGCCUUGGCAUCUUCUUGGUGAACGUAUCUGCACUUGACUGUGUGGUGCGGUACCCAGGACUUUUACUUUGAGGAAAUUAGAGUGUUUCAAGCAGGCAUACGCCUUGAAUACAUUAGCAUGGAAUAAUAAGAUAGGACCUCGGUUCUAUUUUGUUGGUUUCUAGAGCUGAGGUAACGAUUAAUAGGGAUAGUUGGGGGUGCUAGUAUUGACCGGCCAGAGGUGAAUCGUUGCUUGUCGGUCAAGACUAACUUAUGCGAAAGCAUUCACCAAGGAUGUCUUCUUUAAUCAAGAACGAAAGUUGGGGGAUCGAAGAUGAUUAGAUAC
rnacentral:rRNA from 1 species